GACGAACGCUGGCGGCGUGCCUAAUACAUGCAAGUCGAGCGAAGCGGCUGGUGGGUGAGUAACGCGUGGGUAACCUGCCCCUAAGUCUGGGGUACCAUUUGCACACAGAUGCUAGUACCGGAUACUAAUGGAUGGACAUGCGAUGCAUUAGCUAGUUGGUAAGGUAACGGCUUACCAAGGCGAUGAUGCAUAGCCGGGUUGAGAGACUGAUCGGCCACAUUGGGACUGAGACACGGCCCAAACUCCUACGGGAGGCAGCAGUAGGGAAUAUUCCACAAUGGACGAAAGUCUGAUCGAGCCACGCCGCGUGAGUGAAGAAGGUUUUCGGAUCGUAAAGCUCUGUAGUUGGUGAAGCGGUAAUCAACCAGAAAGCCACGGCUAACUACGUGCCAGCAGCCGCGGUAAUUC
rnacentral:rRNA from 1 species